CAUAGGGAAGCUUACACAUGCAGUCGACGGUCUCUUCGGAGAUAGUGGCGGACGGGUGAGUAACGCGUGAGAAUCUAGCUUCAGGUCGGGGACAACCACUGGAAACGGUGGCUAAUACCGGAUGUGCCGAAAGGUGAAAGAUUUAUUGCCUGAAGAUGAGCUCGCGUCUGAUUAGCUAGUUGGUGUGGUAAGAGCGCACCAAGGCGACGAUCAGUAGCUGGUCUGAGAGGAUGAUCAGCCACACUGGGACUGAGACACGGCCCAGACUCCUACGGGAGGCAGCAGUGGGGAAUUUUCCGCAAUGGGCGAAAGCCUGACGGAGCAAUACCGCGUGAGGGAGGAAGGCUCUUGGGUUGUAAACCUCUUUUCUCAGGGAAUAAAAAAAUGAAGGUACCUGAGGAAUAAGCAUCGGCUAACUCCGUGCCAGCAGCCGCGGUAAUACGGAGGAUGCAAGCGUUAUCCGGAAUGAUUGGGCGUAAAGCGUCCGCAGGUGGCACUGUAAGUCUGCUGUUAAAGAGCAAGGCUCAACCUUGUAAAGGCAGUGGAAACUACAGAGCUAGAGUACGUUCGGGGCAGAGGGAAUUCCUGGUGUAGCGGUGAAAUGCGUAGAAAUA
rnacentral:rRNA from 1 species